GUGGGGAAUAUUGGACAAUGGGCGAAAGCCUGAUCCAGCCAUGCCGCGUGUGUGAAGAAGGUCUUCGGAUUGUAAAGCACUUUAAGUUGGGAGGAAGGGCAGUAAGUUAAUACCUUGCUGUUUUGACGUUACCGACAGAAUAAGCACCGGCUAACUUCGUGCCAGCAGCCGCGGUAAUACGAAGGGUGCAAGCGUUAAUCGGAAUUACUGGGCGUAAAGCGCGCGUAGGUGGUUUUGUAAGUUGGAGGUGAAAUCCCCGGGCUCAACCUGGGAACUGCCUCCAAAACUGCAGGACUAGAGUACGGUAGAGGGUAGUGGAAUUUCCUGUGUAGCGGUGAAAUGCGUAGAUAUAGGAAGGAACACCAGUGGCGAAGGCGACUACCUGGACUGAUACUGACACUGAGGUGCGAAAGCGUGGGGAGCAAACAGGAUUAGAAACCCGUGUAGUCC
rnacentral:rRNA from 1 species